rnacentral:lncRNA from 1 species
GAGCACAUGGGCCCGCGGGCCGGGCGGGCUCGGGGCGGCCGGGACGAGGAGGGGCGACGACGAGCUGCGAGCAAAGAUGUGCCCCGGGACCCCCGGCACCUUCCAGUGGAUUUCCUUGCGGAAAGGAUGUUGGCGGUCCCUGUGACCUGUGGAGACACGGCCAGAUCUGCCCUCCAGCCUGAUCUUUUGGCCAGAAGGAGAUUAAAAAGAUGCCCCUCAAGAUGGCUGUGCCUGUCAGCUGCAUGGAGCUUCGUUCAAGUAUUUUCUGAGCCUGAUGGAUUUACAGUGAUCUUCAGUGGUCUGGGGAAUAACGCUGGUGGAACCAUGCACUGGAAUGACACACGCCCGGCACAUUUCAGGAUACUAAAAGUGGUUUUAAGGGAGGCUGUGGCUGAAUGCCUCAUGGAUUCUUACAGCUUGGAUGUCCAUGGGGGACGAAGGACUGCAGCUGGCUGAGAGGGUUGAGAUCUCUGUUUACUUAGAUCUCUGCCAACUUCCUUUGGGUCUCCCUAUGGAAUGUAAGACCCCGACUCUUCCUGGUGAAGCAUCUGAUGCACGUUCCAUCCGGCGCUCAGCUGGGCUUGAGCUGACCAUACUCCCUGGAGCCUUCUCCCGAGGUGCGCGGGUGACCUUGGCACAUACAGCCAUCAUGAUGGUACUUUAAGUGGAGGCUGAAUCAUCUCCCCUUUGAGCUGCUUGGCACGUGGCUCCCUUGGUGUUCCCCUUUUACUGCCAGGACACUGAGAUUUGGAGAGAAUCCUGUUACACCUGGGAUUUAGGCACUUUCAAUCUGAAAAAAUACAUAUCCUUUCAGCACUCUGGACGGACUUGAGAACUGUCCUUACGUGACCUAAAGCUGGAGUAUUUUGAGAUUGGAGAAUUAAGAUCUUGGACAUGAUACCUGGAUGUGCAGCAGCCAUCUGGUAAUUAUGAGGUGACAAGUCAAUAGACUGAGAUGGUGGAGCAGCAAAGAUAGAAAAGGUCUGGAUUUUUUAUAGCAUUGUUGAACUGUUCCAUCAGCCUAAGACAGUUGACUAUCUCCAGACUUCUUGUUAUGUACAACAUGUCCUGUUGUUUAAGUCACUCUAACUUGGAUUGUUUCUUAUUUUCAGCUGAAAUUAUUUCUAAUAGAUAUACAGAUUUCCAACAAAGCACAGUGUAGAGCAGCUUAACAUGGUACCUAUGUGCCAAAGUUCCAGAGCAAGAGUUCCUGGGUUCUAAUCUUGGCUCUGUGGCGUGACUUUAGACAAGUCACUUAGCUUCUCUGUGACUCGCUUUUCUCAUGUAUAAAAUGCUCAGUAACUGUGUAUUGACUGUUGAAUAAAGGAUAAUAGUGAUACUGAAUUCAUAUGAUUGUUAGGAUCAUCGAAUGGCUAAACAUUUUAUAAAAUGAUUAGAACAUCGCUUGGCGCAUUGUAAUUGGCUGCAGAUGUGCUUGUCAAAGUAAAAUUAAAAGAAAAGUAGUCACUAUUAUAGGCCUGGGUUUGCAUCUUGAUCCC